rnacentral:rRNA from 1 species
CGCGUAGGCGGCUUGGUCAGUCGGAUGUGAAAGCCCCGGGCUUAACCUGGGAAUUGCAUUCGAUACUGCCAGACUAGAAUGUAGUAGAGGGAAGUGGAAUUCCGGGUGUAGCGGUGAAAUGCGUAGAUAUCCGGAGGAACAUCAGUGGCGAAGGCGACUUCCUGGACUAACACUGACGCUGAGGUGCGAAAGCGUGGGGAGCAAACA